rnacentral:tRNA from 3 species
GGGGUGUUAGCUCAGUCGGUAGAGCGGCGGACUCUUAAUCCGUAGGUCAUAGGUUCAAGCCCUAUACGCCCCACCA